rnacentral:rRNA from 1 species
AUUGAACGCUGGCGGCAUGCCUAACACAUGCCAGUCGAACGAGUGGCGGACGGGUGAGUAAUGUCUGGGCAACUGCCUGAUGUAGGGGGAUAACUACUGGAAACGGUAGCUAAUACCUCAUACCAUCGUAUGUGCCCAUAUGGGAUUACCUAGUAGGUGGGGUAAAGGCUAACCUAGGCGACGAUCCCUAGCUGGUCUGAGAGUGUUAGCAGCAACACUGGAACUGAGACACGGUCCAGACUCCUACGGUAGGAAGCAGUGGGGAAUAUUGCACAAGGGGCGCAAGCCGGAUACAGCCAUGUCGCGUGUAGGAAGAAGGCGUUCGGGUUGUAAAGUACUUUCAGCAGGGAGGCGUUACCCGAAGAAGAAGCACCGGCUAACUCCGUGCCAGCCGCCGCGGUAAUAC